rnacentral:rRNA from 1 species
AGUGGCAAACGGGUGAGUAACACGUAAACAACCUGCCUUCAGGAUGGGGACAACAGACGGAAACGACUGCUAAUACCGAAUACCUGAAGAGGGGUUUGCGUCUGAUUAGGUAGUUGGUGAGGUAACGGCCCACCAAGCCGACGAUCAGUAGCCGGUCUGAGAGGAUGAACGGCCACACUGGAACUGAGACACGGUCCAGACUCCUACGGGAGGCAGCAGUGGGGAAUCUUCCGCAAUGGGCGAAAGCCUGACGGAGCAACGCCGCGUGAGUGAUGACGGCCUUCGGGUUGUAAAGCUCUGUGAUCGGGGACGCGGUACCCGAAUAGCAAGCCACGGCUAACUACGUGCCAGCAGCCGCGGUAAUACGUAGGUGGCAAGCGUUGUCCGGAAUUAUUGGGCGUGAAGCGCGCGCAGGCGGUUCUUAAGUCCAUCUUAGAAGUGCGGGGCUUAACCCCGUGAUGGGAUGGAAACUGAGAGCUGGAGUAUCGGAGAGGAAAGUGGAAUUCCUAGUGUAGCGGUGAAAUGC